AGCCCCGUGGUGGAGUUUACAUGUUGGAUUGCAAAUCCAAAGACGCAGAUUGACGUCUGCCGGGGCUU
rnacentral:tRNA from 1 species